GACGUAGGGCGCGAGCGUUGUCCGGAUUUAUUGGGCGUAAAGAGCUCGUAGGCGGCUUGUCGCGUCGACUGUGAAAACUCGGGGCUCAACUCCGAGCUUGCAGUCGAUACGGGCAGGCUAGAGUUCGGUAGGGGAGACUGGAAUUCCUGGUGUAGCGGUGAAAUACGCAGAUAUCAGGAGGAACACCGGUGGCGAAGGCGGGUCUCUGGGCCGAUACUGACGCUGAGGAGCGAAAGCGUGGGGAGCGAACAGG
rnacentral:rRNA from 1 species